GGGGAUGCCAGGCAUCGACGGGAAAUUUGCACUUUUAAAAAAUGGCUUAGACGGACCUGUCCGUUAAACGGAAAAAAUAACUGAUAAGCAAUUAUCAGAAUUGCGAGAAGCUAUGUUGGCAAGAUCAUAUGCAAAUAUGAACUUUGCUUACGUUAACUAAUCGCCCUCUCUAAAGAUUUUGUCCGAUUCAAUCUAUAGAGGGGAAAACCAAUCGGAAUAAGGUCGGAUAAUUUUUUCAGUUGGUUAUCUGACCGAUAAACUUAACUGACUAUCCUAGACGAUUUGAUUAUUUAGGCGCUAGGAUUAGAGUUAAAAAUAGUCUAUUCUAAGCUAAACAUUUUUAAGGGUGUUUUCUCGGACGCGGGUUCAAUUCCCGCCAUCUCCACUC
rnacentral:tmRNA from 4 species